rnacentral:rRNA from 1 species
GAUGAACGCUGGCGGCGUGCCUAAUACAUGCAAGUCGAGCGAACGGACGAGAAGCUUGCUUCUCUGAUGUUAGCGGCGGAUGGGUGAGUAACACGUGGAUAGCCUACCUAUAAGACUGGGAUAACUUCGGGAAACCGUAGCUAAUACCGGAUAAUAUUUUGAACCGCAUGGUUCAAAAGUGAAAGACGGUCUUGCUGUCACUUAUAGAUGGAUCCGCGCUGCAUUAGCUAGUUGGUAAGGUAACGGCUUACCAAGGCAACGAUGCAUAGCCGACCUGAGAGGGUGAUCGGCCACACUGGAACUGAGACACGGUCCAGACUCCUACGGGAGGCAGCAGUAGGGAAUCUUCCGCAAUGGGCGAAAGCCUGACGGAGCAACGCCGCGUGAGUGAUGAAGGUCUUCGGAUCGUAAAACUCUGUUAUUAGGGAAGAACAUAUGUGUAAGUAACUGUGCACAUCUUGACGGUACCUAAUCAGAAAGCCACGGCUAACUACGUG